GGAAUGUUUGCAAUCAAAAUCAUCAGUUAAAUGUGGACAUAAUUUACUAAAACAGUUUGACCAAAAUGUCUGAGGAUUCACCAGAACCCCCCUUCUGUGUCUCUAUCAGAGUGCCUUCAAACUGUCAGAGGGAUUUCAGGUUGUUGGCGUUUGACCCUGACGGAGACGAGGUUAAGUGCAGAUAUGCACUCUCAUCACAGUCAGAGUGUGACGAUUGCACACAGCCGUCUGUCCUCAGCCUCUCAUCAUCAUCUUGCACUCUGUCAUUCAGUCCCACCAGCAGCAGCAAUGAAGGCUCAUACGUGGUGCAGCUGGUGAUGGAGGACUUUCCCAGACAGACCAUCACACUGACUCACACCAACGGGGCGCAGACGACCAGAACUGUCAAUGAUGCUAUCAGCAAUAUUCCAGUCCAGUUUGUUGUGACAGUGGACGCUGCAGCGCCAUCCUGCACAGAAGGACUUUACCUGCCCAGGUUCCUGCCUCCAACUCCAGCCAAUGGAGCUCAGCUGUUCACUGCUGUCAACCAGACCCUGGAAAUCAGCAUCUCUGCCGAGGCCAACAACUCCCAGUAAGUGAAUUGUUGGCAAGGAAAAUACAUUCUAAAGAAUUUACUUCACACGACAGGUAGACACCUGAGACAGUUUUAGUUCUUUAGGUAAUUCAUUCAGGAAUC
ensembl:lncRNA